rnacentral:ncRNA from 1 species
AAACUCACCCAGCCUGGACACAGACAGGAUUGACAGACUGAGAGCUCUUUCUCAGUUCCAUGGGUGGUAGUGCCUGGCCAUUCUUGGUGGAGCGAUUUGUCUGGUUAAUUCCAAUAACAAACAAGACUCUGGCAUGCUAACUAGUUAUGCGACUCCCCAGUGGCCAACAUCUGACUUCUUCAAGGGACCAGUGGCAUUCAGCAACAUGAGAUAGAGCAACAACAGGUCUGUGACGUCCUUUACUGUGAGA